AUUGAACGCUGGCGGCAGGCCUAACACAUGCAAGUCGAGCGGAAACGAGUUAUCUGAACCUUCGGGGAACGAUAAGGGCGUCGAGCGGCGGACGGGUGAGUAAUGCCUAGGAAAUUGCCCUGAUGUGGGGGAUAACCAUUGGAAACGAUGGCUAAUACCGCAUGAUGCCUACGGGCCAAAGAGGGGGACCUUCGGGCCUCUCGCGUCAGGAUAUGCCUAGGUGGGAUUAGCUAGUUGGUGAGGUAAGGGCUCACCAAGGCAACGAUCCCUAGCUGGUCUGAGAGGAUGAUCAGCCACACUGGAACUGAGACGCGGUCCAGACUCCUACGGGAGGCAGCAGUGGGGAAUAUUGCACAAUGGGCGCAAGCCUGAUGCAGCCAUGCCGCGUGUAUGAAGAAGGCCUUCGGGUUGUAAAGUACUUUCAGUCGUGAGGAAGGCGUUGUCGUUAAUAGCGGCAUCGUUUGACGUUAGCGACAGAAGAAGCACCGGCUAACUCCGUGCCAGCAGCCGCGGUAAUACGGAGGGUGCGAGCGUUAAUCGGAAUUACUGGGCGUAAAGCGCAUGCAGGUGGUUUGUUAAGUCAGAUGUGAAAGCCCGGGGCUCAACCUCGGAAUAGCAUUUGAAACUGGCAGACUAGAGUACUGUAGAGGGGGGUAGAAUUUCAGGUGUAGCGGUGAAAUGCGUAGAGAUCUGAAGGAAUACCGGUGGCGAAGGCGGCCCCCUGGACAGAUACUGACACUCAGAUGCGAAAGCGUGGGGAGCAAACAGG
rnacentral:rRNA from 1 species